rnacentral:rRNA from 1 species
ACUCCUACGGGAGGCAGCAGUGGGGAAUAUUGGACAAUGGGGGAAACCCUGAUCCAGCCAUGCCGCGUGUGUGAAGAAGGCCUUCGGGUUGUAAAGCACUUUCAGUGGGAGGAAAGGUUGAUGGUUUAAUACCUAUCAGCUGUGACGUUACCCACAGAAGAAGCACCGGCUAACUCCGUGCCAGCAGCCGCGGUAAUACGGAGGGUGCAAGCGUUAAUCGGAAUUACUGGGCGUAAAGCGCAUGCAGGUGGUUUGUUAAGUCAGAUGUGAAAGCCCGGGGCUCAACCUCCGGAAUUGCAUUUGAAACUGGCAGACUAGAGUUACUGUAGAGGGGGUAGAA